AAACUUACCUGGCAGGGGAGAUACCAUGAUCACAAAGGUGGUUUUCCCAAGGCGAGGCUUAUCCACUGCACUUCCCGGAUGUGCUGGCCCCUGCGAUUUCCCCAAACAUGGGAAACUCAACUGCAUAAUUUGUGGUAGUGGAGGACUGAAUUCACAGUCUCCCC